rnacentral:rRNA from 1 species
UACGGGGGGGGCAAGCGUUGUUCGGAAUUACUGGGCGUAAAGGGCUCGUAGGCGGCCAACUAAGUCAGACGUGAAAUCCCUCGGCUUAACCGGGGAACUGCGUCUGAUACUGGAUGGCUGGAGUUUGGGAGAGGGAUGCGGAAUUCCAGGUGUAGCGGUGAAAUGCGUAGAUAUCUGGAGGAACACCGGUGGCGAAGGCGGCAUCCUGGACCAAUACUGACGCUGAGGAGCGAAAGCGUGGGGAGCGAACAGG